GAUGAACGCUGGCGGCGUGCCUAAUACAUGCAAGUCGAGCGAACGGACGAGAAGCUUGCUUCUCUGAUGUUAGCGGCGGACGGGUGAGUAACACGUGGAUACCCUACCUAUAAGACUGGGAUAACUUCGGGAAACCGUAGCUAAUACCGGAUAAUAUUUUGAACCGCAGGGUUCAAAAGUGAAAGACGGUCUUGCUGUCACUUAUAGAUGGAUCCGCGCUGCAUUAGCUAGUUGGUAAGGUAACGGCUUACCAAGGCAACGAUGCAUAGCCGACCUGAGAGGGUGAUCGGCCACACUGGAACUGAGACACGGUCCAGACUCCUACGGGAGGCAGCAGUAGGGAAUCGUCCGCAAUGGGCGAAAGCCUUACGGAGCAACGCCGCGUGAGUGAUGAAGGUCUUCGGAUCGUAAAACUCUGUUAUUAGGGAAGAACAUAUGUGUAAGUAACUGUGCACAUCUUGACGGUACCUAAUCAGAAAGCCACGGCUAACUACGUG
rnacentral:rRNA from 1 species